rnacentral:rRNA from 1 species
AGUGAACGCUGGCGGUAGGCCUAACACAUGCAAGUCGAACGGCAGCACAGUAAGAGCUUGCUCUUACGGGUGGCGAGUGGCGUACGGGUGAGGAAUACAUCGGAAUCUACUUUUUCGUGGGGGAUAACGUAGGGAAACUUACGCUAAUACCGCAGACGACCUACGGGUGAAAGCAGGGGAUCUUCGGACCUUGCGCGAUUGAAUGAGCCGAUGUCGGAUUAGCUAGUUGGCGGGGUAAAGGCCCACCAAGGCGACGAUCCGUAGCUGGUCUGAGAGGAUGAUCAGCCACACUGGAACUGAGACACGGUCCAGACUCCUACGGGAGGCAGCAGUGGGGAAUAUUGGACAAUGGGCGCAAGCCUGAUCCAGCCAUACCGCGUGGGUGAAGAAGGCCUUCGGGUUGUAAAGCCCUUUUGUUGGGAAAGAAAAGCAGCAGGUUAAUACCCCGCUGUUCUGACGGUACCCAAAGAAUAAGCACCGGCUAACUUCGUG